rnacentral:snoRNA from 1 species
AAGACUAUAACUUCAGGAAUCAUUUUCCUAUAGUUUCUCUAACUUGAGAAUGUGUUUCUAAAGUGAUUGUCUUGCUAAACCAUGAUGAAGAGGUUGAUACUUCUCCCUGAGCGUGAAUCGUACAUCAGUUAGUGAGUUUCUCACAUGACUAUUGUAAUUGGUGACCGUUCACUGAUCGGGUGAAUGCCGAUAUCGAUGGGAGGUAGUUGUUCAGAGUGGC